CCUACGGGAGGCAGCAGUAAGGAAUAUUGCGCAAUGGGCGAAAGCCUGACGCAGCGACGCCGCGUGGGGGAUGAAGGUCUUCGGAUUGUAAACCCCUUUCGGGAGGGAAGAUGGAAUGAGCAAUCAUUCGGACGGUACCUCCAGAAGCAGCCACGGCUAACUUCGUGCCAGCAGCCGCGGUAAUACGAAGGUGGCAAGCGUUGUUCGGAUUUACUGGGCGUACAGGGAGCGUAGGCGGUUUAGUAAGCCCUUUGUGAAAUCUCCAGGCUUAACCUGGAACAGUCGGAGGGGACUGCUAAGCUAGAGUACGGGAGAGGAGCGCGGAAUUCCCGGUGUAGCGGUGAAAUGCGUAGAGAUCGGGAGGAAGGCCGGUGGCGAAGGCGGCGCUCUGGAACGUUUCUGACGCUGAGGCUCGAAAGCGUGGGGAGCAAACAGGAUUAGAUACCCUGGUAGUCCACGCCUUAAACUAUGAAUACUAAGUGUCGGCGGUUUACCGCCGGUGCCGCAGCUAACGCAUUAAGUAUUCCGCCUGGGAAGUACGGCCGCAAGGUUGAAAACUCAAAAUGAAUUGACGG
rnacentral:rRNA from 1 species